GGCUCAGGACGAAUGCUGGCGGCGUGCUUAACACAUGCAAGUCGAGCGGAAAGGCCCUUCGGGGUACUCGAGCGGCGAACGGGUGAGUAACACGUGAGCAACCUGCCCUAGGCUUUGGGAUAACCCCGGGAAACCGGGGCUAAUACCGAAUAGGACCUGGCCUCGCAUGAGGCUGGGUGGAAAGUUUUUCGGCCUGGGAUGGGCUCGCGGCCUAUCAGCUUGUUGGUGGGGUGAUGGCCUACCAAGGCGACGACGGGUAGCCGGCCUGAGAGGGCGACCGGCCACACUGGGACUGAGACACGGCCCAGACUCCUACGGGAGGCAGCAGUGGGGAAUAUUGCACAAUGGGCGGAAGCCUGAUGCAGCGACGCCGCGUGAGGGAUGACGGCCUUCGGGUUGUAAACCUCUUUCAGCAGGGACGAAGCGUAAGUGACGGUACCUGCAGAAGAAGCGCCGGCCAACUACGUGCCAGCAGCCGCGGUAAGACGUAGGGCGCGAGCGUUGUCCGGAUUUAUUGGGCGUAAAGAGCUCGUAGGCGGCUUGUCGCGUCGACUGUGAAAACCCGCAGCUCAACUGCGGGCCUGCAGUCGAUACGGGCAGGCUAGAGUUCGGUAGGGGAGACUGGAAUUCCUGGUGUAGCGGUGAAAUGCGCAGAUAUCAGGAGGAACACCGGUGGCGAAGGCGGGUCUCUGGGCCGAUACUGACGCUGAGGAGCGAAA
rnacentral:rRNA from 1 species